rnacentral:rRNA from 1 species
CGGAGGCAGCAGUGGGGAAUUUUGCGCAAUGGGCGAAAGCCUGACGCAGCAACGCCGCGUGGAGGAUGAAGGUUCUCUGAAUUGUAAACUCCUGUCGGCCGGGAAGAAUUGGUAGGAUGCUAAUCAAUCCUGCUUUGACUGUACCGGCAAAGGAAGCCCCGGCUAACUCCGUGCCAGCAGCCGCGGUAAUACGGAGGGGGCAAGCGUUACUCGGAAUUAUUGGGCGUAAAGGGCGCGUAGGCGGUCGUGUACGUCAGAGGUGAAAUCCCCCGGCUUAACCGGGGAACUGCCUCUGAUACGGCAUGGCUUGAGUCCGGGAGAGGAGAGCAGAAUUCCCAGUGUAGCGGUGAAAUGCGUAGAUAUUGGGAGGAAUACCAGUGGCGAAGGCGGCUCUCUGGACCGGUACUGACGCUGAGGCGCGAAAGCGUGGGUAGCAAACAGGAUUAGAAACCCUUGUAGUCCC